UCCACUGACCUGACCAGGCUGCCAUGAC
rnacentral:piRNA from 1 species